GAACGUCGCCAUUACGUACUUAGAAAAGUUGGAAUGUUGCACAGGGCAUUCAGAACUGACAUGAGACAAAAACAUCUAAGAGACAGUGAUGGUAAUUAUAAAGAACAUCCUCCGAGAGACUUAUAUCCCCAAAUUACAAAUGAGCAUUGGAAUAGUUUUGUAGCUUGGUCUAAGACCGAUGCGUUUCAGGUAAUGUUAUAUUACUUAAAACCUACUAUUUUUAAUUUUUAAGUACAUAUAUUUUGUAGUAAGCUUAUAACUUUUUAAUUAAUGUAGAAACUUAGUAAAGCAA
rnacentral:lncRNA from 1 species